rnacentral:rRNA from 1 species
UACGGGAGGCAGCAGUGGGGAAUAUUGCACAAUGGGCGCAAGCCUGAUGCAGCCAUGCCGCGUGUAUGAAGAAGGCCUUCGGGUUGUAAAGUACUUUCAGUCGUGAGGAAGGUGUUAAGGUUAAUAACCUUAGCAAUUGACGUUAGCGACAGAAGAAGCACCGGCUAACUCCGUGCCAGCAGCCGCGGUAAUACGGAGGGUGCGAGCGUUAAUCGGAAUUACUGGGCGUAAAGGGCACGCAGGCGGUUAAUUAAGUUGGAUGUGAAAUCCCCGGGCUUAACCUGGGAAUGGCAUUCAAGACUGGUUAGCUAGAGUCUUGUAGAGGGGGUAGAAUUCCAUGUGUAGCGGUGAAAUGCGUAGAGAUGUGGAGGAAUACCGGUGGCGAAGGCGGCCCCUGGGACAAAGACUGACGCUCAUGUGCGAAAGCGUGGGGAGCGAAACAGGGAUUAGAUACC